GUGCCAGCAGCCGCGGUAAUACGGAGGAUCCAAGCGUCAUCCGGAAUCAUUGGUUUAAAGGGUCCGUAGGCGGUUUAGUAAGUCAGUGGUGAAAGCCCAUCGCUCAACGGUGGAACGGCCAUUGAUACUGCUAGACUUGAAUUAUUAGGAAGUAACUAGAAUAUGUAGUGUAGCGGUGAAAUGCUUAGAGAUUACAUGGAAUACCAAUUGCGAAGGCAGGUUACUACUAAUGGAUUGACGCUGAUGGACGAAAGCGUGGGUAGCGAACAGGAUUAGAUACCCUGGUAGUCCACGCCGUAAACGAUGGAUACAAGCUGUUGGAAGCAAUUUCAGUGGCUAAGCGAAAGUGAUAAGUAUCCCACCUGGGGAGUACGUUCGCAAGAAUGAAACUCAAAGAAAUUGACGGGACCAGCAGCCGCCACUCAACUCAAAGAAAUUGACGGG
rnacentral:rRNA from 1 species